GGGGACGCGCCGGCGCUGCGGCGUUGGCGCAGUCGUGGGAACAGCGCGGAGCAGGUUUUUUAAAAUAUAUUCUUUCUUUAAAAAGAGACCAAAACCUGUCAAAAAAAUACUACCGUGGAAAGCUCAUAAAUACUACAGUGUGAAGAACCCUGUGCUUAUCUUCAGUUUAUCAUCAGACAUCUUAGGGAAGUUUAAUAAAGAACACCAGUGAGGAGAUUGUGGACUGCCUAAUAUAUUUCAUCAGAAGAGAAGGCUGGAGAAUUAAGCAGAUGCAGCAAAAAGCAGAAACUGACUUCAAAAAAAACCCUCUCAGUAGAGAAAGUGAUAUUAGAUUCCUAUUGCAAAGGAUCUAAUGCCAGUUAAAUUCUCUUUUGCUUUCUUGAUAAAACAGGAGAAUUGAGAAUUAAAUGAAAAGGUAAAUCCUUUUAAAGACCUCAGAAGAUGGAUCUGUUUGUUUCAAUCUGCUUUUGAGGUUGUUUGCUAUGUCUUUGGCUGAUCUAACAAAAACAAAUAUAGAUGAGCAUUUCUUCGGCGUGGCAUUAGAAAACAAUAGGAGGUCUGCAGCAUGCAAGAGAAGCCCAGGCACAGGCGAUUUUUCACGGAACAGUAAUGCUUCCAAUAAGAGUGUUGAUUAUAGCAGAUCUCAGUGCUCCUGUGGAAGUUUAAGUUCUCAGUAUGAUUAUUCAGAAGACUUUCUCUGUGAUUGUUCAGAAAAGGCUAUUAAUAGAAAUUAUUUAAAGCAGCCUGUGGUAAAAGAAAAGGAGAAGAAAAAGUAUAAUGUUUCUAAAAUCUCCCAAUCUAAAG
rnacentral:lncRNA from 10 species